CCCUUCCCCCACUGCAGUUCCGGCUUAGAACAGGACACAGCACAGGUGGAACCACUGAACCGUCACGCUGGCUGUUCCCAACAAGGCCUGUGAUUCAAAUGGACUUAUUCUUCAUUGGAUUCGUCUUGCUUUGGUGGUUUCUGUGGACUCACCUGUUCCCUCGGGGCGAUUACAAUGGACUUUCAUUAUUACACUUGUUCCCCCCUCUCUCCUCUGUGGACUAUAAUUGGAGCCCCGAGUCGACCAGAACUUCGAAGACUUCCCCGACACGACAGACGGAUCCCCAUCGUCCGGACCACUGAGGAUCUCGCCUGUGUUGGUAGCUAUUCCCAUACCCCUCUUCUCUCUCUCUCUCUCUCUCUCUCCUUUUAUCUCCUUUCCGAUCCCCACUAUCGCAUUUACUGUUUUGGCCCCUAAUAAAGGUGCAUUUGUUGUGAUUAA